CUACUGGGGUAUCUAAUCCUGUUUGCUCCCCACGCUUUCGCACCUCAGCGUCAGUUGUGGUCCAGUGAGCCGCCUUCGCCACUGGUGUUCCUGCGAAUAUCUACGAAUUUCACCUCUACACUCGCAAUUCCACUCACCUCUACCACACUCAAGAUACCCAGUAUCAAAGGCAGUUCCGGGGUUGAGCCCCGGGAUUUCACCCCUGACUUAAAUAUCCGCCUACGUGCGCUUUACGCCCAGUAAUUCCGAACAACGCUAGCCCCCUUCGUAUUACCGCGGCUGCUGGCAC
rnacentral:rRNA from 1 species